rnacentral:rRNA from 1 species
UACGGAGGGUGCAAGCGUUGUUCGGAAUCACUGGGCGUAAAGGGCGCGCAGGCGGUUUGAAUAGUCAGAUGUGAAAGCCCACGGCUUAACCGUGGAAGUGCAUUUGAAACUGUCAGACUUGAGUACCAGAGGGGAAAGUGGAAUUCCCGGUGUAGAGGUGAAAUUCGUAGAUAUCGGGAGGAAUACCGGUGGCGAAGGCGACUUUCUGGCUGGAUACUGACGCUGAGGCGCGAAAGCGUGGCGAGCAAACAGGAUUAGAUACACCGGUAGUCCCU